GACAGAGGGGGCAAGCGUUGCUCGGAAUUACUGGGCGUAAAGGGCGCGUAGGCGGGAUGGCAAGUCGGUCGUGAAAUCCCUCGGCUCAACCGAGGAACGUCGAUCGAUACUGCUGUUCUUGAGGAUUGCAGAGGAGACUGGAAUUCCCGGUGUAGCGGUGAAAUGUGUAGAGAUCGGGAGGAACACCGGGUGGCGAAGGCGGGUCUCUGGGCAAUUCCUGACGCUGAGGCGCGAAAGCGUGGGGAGCAAACGGG
rnacentral:rRNA from 1 species